rnacentral:rRNA from 1 species
UCGAACGAAGCAGAAAGGUGCUUGCAUCUUUUUGACUGAGUGGCGGACGGGUGAGUAACGCGUGGAGAACCUGCCUUACACAGGGGGAUAACGGCUGGAAACGGCUGCUAAUACCGCAUAAGCAUACGAUUUCGCAUGAAAUCGUGUGAAAAGAAUGUAUCGGUGUAAGAUGGCUCCGCGUCCGAUUAGUUAGUUGGCGGGGUAAUGGCCCACCAAGGCAACGAUCGGUAGCCGGCCUGAGAGGGUGACCGGCCACAUUGGGACUGAGACACGGCCCAGACUCCUACGGGAGGCAGCAGUGGGGAAUCUUGCACAAUGGGGGAAACCCUGAUGCAGCGACGCCGCGUGAGCGAAGAAGUAUUUCGGUAUGUAAAGCUCUAUCAGCAGGGAAUAGAAAAGAAGGUACCUGACUAAGAAGCCCCGGCUAACUACGUGCCAGCAGCCGCGGUAAUACGUAGGGGGCAAGCGUUAUCCGGAUUUACUGGGUGUAAAGGGAGCGUAGACGGCAAGACAAGUCAGAAGUGAAAUCCUAUCGCUCAACGAUAGGCAUGCUUUUGAAACUGUGAUGCUAGAGUGCAGGAGAGGUAAGUGGAAUUCCUAGUGUAGCGGUGAAAUGCGUAGAGAUUAGGAGGAACACCAGUGGCGAAGGCGGCUUACUGGACUGCAACUGACGUUGAGGCUCGAAAGCGUGGGGAGCAAACA